AAGAACAAACUGAGUGUGCAGUUCUCGCUGAAGAACAAAGACGAUUUUCACAGCGCCUUCUACCAUUGACUUGUACUGAUGAGCGCCCCUAUAUAAGUAAGUGUUCGGGCACAUCACUUGUGCGAUCUAUGCUGAUGAAAAAGGAUGGCGAUGUUCAGGCAGCGCUUUCUACCGUUUGAUUUGUGCUGAUGAGUGCCCCACUGAUAAUAGAUGUUCGGGCGAAGUACUUGUGCAAUCUAUGCUGAUGAGAAAGGAUGACGAUGUUCAGUUUUAAAGCCCUAAAAAUAGAAAUUAGAAUUAGCUGCUAGCUCUACAUAAUAUCAUCAAGGUGAAACCAUCAAAUAAGAGAAUCAUAUGUACAGUCUUAUCAAAGGGGAAAAAGAAGAUGAUAAUAAUGUGAAGGGCGAGGAUGGAUUACUUUGUGAUCCUAUUUUUGAUCAAUCUGAGGAUCAGAUUGCUUGUGAAGGGUCGGACUUCUUGACUACCUGAUCAACAAAUACAACAGAGAAUCUCAAUAAAUUUCAAUAUGUUUUAGGGUACAGGUUGAUCAUGCAAAGUCGCCAACAAAGUUUGUUAUUCUAUGACUCUCGAGUCUAGAGUGAGUUCUCUUUUACCAAAUUUACAAUUAAAAGUUUGGUAUUGUGCAUUCUUAUAUUGUUGGUCGGACGAACUUGUCAUUAAUGAUUUUACAGAUUGCUUAUAUAAGAUGUGGCAUAUGGAGAAAGGUAAGAUAUCUUUAUUGCUUUGGAUGCAUAUCCACAUUGAGUCCUUAUUUAUUUUCAAUACUUGCUCAUUUAUAGAAAUUUUAUAAAUACAAUCAUUUGGUUUCCUUUUCCAAGACCUUGUUUGAUUAUUUGAAAUUAUUUAUAGAUUAUAAUUUUUCAGUUUUCUUGUCAUUUCUAUCCAUAAUUUCAACAUUUAAGUGAUCAUUUUCUUUUGUUUCUGCUGGUUGUGAUAUAUAAUCACCACCUCUAUAUUCACUGUUAUUUUCAACUGUUUACAUACAGUGGGAGAAUAAAUGUUACUUGACUGACCAUCUUGGCUUGGUGUUGGUUUCCACUGCACAAGUGGUGUAAAAAACUUUGUUAUGAUGAUUUUGGUUUUCGUGUUCUUCAUUUCACUAAAUUCUACAUGUUUUAUAUAUAUUUGUUUUUUAAUUUUUCCGAUAAUACUAGUAUUAUUAUUAAUCUCGGGGUAUUAUUAUUAAUCUCGGGAGAAAUGAAAUGUGAGUUUAUUUGUAUCAAGUUAAUC